AGUAAUGUCUGGGAAACUGCCUGAUGGAGGGGGAUAACUACUGGAAACGGUAGCUAAUACCGCAUAAUGUCGCAAGACCAAAGUGGGGGACCUUCGGGCCUCAUGCCAUCGGAUGUGCCCAGAUGGGAUUAGCUAGUAGGUGGGGUAACGGCUCACCUAGGCGACGAUCCCUAGCUGGUCUGAGAGGAUGGCCAGCCACACUGGAACUGAGACACGGUCCAG
rnacentral:rRNA from 1 species